AUAAGACUGGGAUAACUUCGGGAAACCGGAGCUAAUACCGGAUAAGAUUUUGAACCGCAUGGUUCAAUAGUGAAAGACGGCCUUGCUGUCACUUAUAGAUGGAUCCGCGCCGUAUUAGCUAGUUGGUAAGGUAACGGCUUACCAAGGCAACGAUACGUAGCCGACCUGAGAGGGUGAUCGGCCACACUGGAACUGAGACACGGUCCAGACUCCUACGGGAGGCAGCAGUAGGGAAUCUUCCGCAAUGGGCGAAAGCCUGACGGAGCAACGCCGCGUGAGUGAUGAAGGUCUUCGGAUCGUAAAACUCUGUUAUCAGGGAAGAACAAACGUGUAAGUAACUGUGCACGUCUUGACGGUACCUGAUCAGAAAGCCACGGCUAACUACGUGCCAGCAGCCGCGGUAAUACGUAGGUGGCAAGCGUUAUCCGGAAUUAUUGGGCGUAAAGCGCGCGUAGGCGGUUUUUUAAGUCUGAUGUGAAAGCCCACGGCUCAACCGUGGAGGGUCAUUGGAAACUGGAAAACUUGAGUGCAGAAGAGGAAAGUGGAAUUCCAUGUGUAGCGGUGAAAUGCGCAGAGAUAUGGAGGAACACCAGUGGCGAAGGCGACUUUCUGGUCUGUAA
rnacentral:rRNA from 1 species